CAAACCAAAUCCUGCCUUUGAACCAUUUAUGCUGCUACAAUCAGCUCAAAAACACAGCAGCAGUUUGUGUUCAUUUCCAGCAACAGGAAUUGUUUUUCAUUCUUUGAGAUGGGACUUAAGAUGGGAGUUUUCAGUUACUUUACUUUAGCAAUGUUAAUUCAAUAUUCCUGCAGUCAGACACUGAUCCAGUCUGAUUCACUGAUCAUCAAACCUGAUCAGUCUCUGAUCUGCACAGCUUCUGGAUUACACUUUAGUAACUACUGGAUGGCUUGGAUCAGACAGGAGCCUGGAAAAGGGCUGGAAUUUGUUGCAACUAUCUCACAUGAUAGUGCUAACAAGUAUUACUCCAGUGCAGUUAACGGGCGCUUCACCAUCUCCAGAGACAACAGUAAGAUGCAGGUGUAUCUGCAGAUGAACAGCGUGAGGACAGAAGACACUGCAGUGUAUUACUGCACCCGGCACACACAGUGAUACUUCUCCUUUGACAUCAAUACAAAAACUGAUCAAGACAUUUCUUGAUUAAACAGUACAUAAAGAUACCAGAGCUCAAAGCCAUAACACUUUAAAAUCAAAGUCAAUAAAAUAGAUUUAUAAAAAAUAAAAUAAUAUUCACAGUAAAUUAUGUUUGUGAAGGGAGAUGACAGAGACAGCAUAGAGCGCCCCCUGUGUGUUUUCUUUAUUUUACAAAAGCACAGCAUUUUGUUGUUAUUUUGAGUGUAUACAAAUAAGGACCUUUAAAUAUUUGAAUGAUGUAUUGCUCUUAUCUGUACAAUCAAAAAAAGACCAACAUUUAAGUUCGUUAUAAGGAAAAAAUCCAACAAAACACACCGGCACGUUUGUCGACCCCCAGAGGGUUAAUUGUGCAUCAUGGCGUAUUUUGGUGUUUAAUGUAAGA